AGCUACCAUUUGAUUUUUAUGGGGGGGAUAGGAUGAAAUUUGAAAAAAAUAGGCAGGACAGGAGUUUUGAGUAAAAAAAAAGGCAGGAUGAGCAACUUGGCAAAAAAAAAAAGGCAGGAUGACAAUUUAUGUAAAAAAAGUCAGGAUAAACUAAUAAAAAAAAAGGCAGGACCAAAUAGAGUGAAAAAUGAAAAGGCAGGACAGAGAUUUAAACUAAAAAAAAAUGCAGGACUACAUUUUUCAUCCUAGCACCCC
rnacentral:lncRNA from 1 species